CAGCCUAUUCCUGAGUUUGGGCCAGUGGGGUGUAGCGGCUAGCAGUGUGCAAUGCUGUCUACCACAGUGGCUUGUUUGGUGUUACCACUAAGGGAUGCCAGAGUUUGAAAAUUUCAAAUUCAAUGUGGGGCUUUGACUGGUAAAUUGGUUUUAAUUCACUAUGGUAAUGUCCAGAGAUUAUUUACUUCCAAGAUUUUUUUCCCAAUAAGGAUGACUUGACGCCUCCCAUUCUGACACUGGGAACUGUUCUGUUGUAGAGGAUUUCCAUUGACCUUCACUGACAUCAUUCUACUCAAAGGAACUGUCAGAUGAACUGAUGCUGAGCAGGGGAACCCCACAGUUAAAAAAAAAGAGCUUGACUGACUGGCAAACAUGACAGAUGUUUAAAUUUGACCAAUAUUUUUUUCCCAUCACUGCUAGUCAUUCAGGCUCCUCAUUGUUCUAAUUACAAACUGCAGUUCACUGAAUGUAACUGAAGGAAAUGGGAUAUAUUUGAAAUAGGACCCAAAUUGCUUUCUGUGGCAUAACACCAUCAGCAGUUUGUUUUGUCUAAACUGCUAUUUGUCUGUCUCACAUAUUGAUUUAACACAACGUGACCGGACACUCUAGAGGCUCACAUCUGGCAAACACUGGGAAAAUUCAAUCACAACAUGUUUAGUGGACUGAGGUAUUAGUAUGUCAUACCCAGCAUGAAUAAGUAACUUUUUGUUUUGGCAGGGAGGACCAUGUGGACGAGGGGUUAAUGACUUACAGUUGCUCUUACUGUACAAUGAAGGUUUUAUUCAGAUUUUUCUGAUAUAGUUUGACUUGUAUGCUGAAAUAUGAUAUAUCAAAAACAUUUUUACAUGUUACAUAUGGACAAAUUCUAAUUCUGUAAAAUAUUUUAAUGUUGUUCAUAC